GAGCACCGAUCAGAUAUCAAGGCAAUCAACUAUUUGUGGGCUGAUAUAUAAAUGCAAUGCGCCAGUUCCAAGAUAUAUAUUUAACUUCCACUGUUGUGCCCUUCAGACGCAAUUAUUCAUAUUUUUACUCGGUUGUUGAUAAUCACCAUGAAGUCAGCUUGUGAACUUACAGACCAUUCGAUCGACAGUAUAAUGGCUCAAAGAAACACCACCACCAAGAACAAGACAUCUCAGAUUAUAGACGAUGUAACAGCUCUUAGAUUACAUUAUAGUUUUAAUGCGUAUAGUAGAUGUCCAGAUGCUAUCCAGAUAGAAUCACUAUCGCUCAAACUGAAUGUCAGCCCUUCUGCUAUAAAGACGUGGUUCCGUAAUCAAAGACAGCUCGCCCACAAAAAGAAAUCAGUCUGCAGUCAAGUUACAGGACUGAAACAGAAUGUCGUAGCGCAACAGCCACCACCACUUACUGAAGCAGACCACCCAUACUUCCAAACGAUAACCCACAGACUCCACACAGAGAAAACAUCACAACUUUCAUCUAUCAAUGAGAAGCUUGGAAUAUUACCUGUUUAUCAGCAACGACCACCACCUCUAUCUACUCUAUCUGACGUCGACAAUGCAUAUCUUCGGUCUUUAUCCAAACGAU